GUCCCUGUAGCGCAAUGGACAGCACGUUGGACUUCUAAUCCAAAGUUCGUGGCUUUGAAACCCACCUGGAAUG